CGCCCCCCAAGUGAACACCCAGCGCUGCCUCUCGAAGAGCCCGUCAAGGCUGCCGCGCUGCAGAGUUCUGGAUCAGAUACCACCUGAGGAGCCUCUGAGAAACAUUUAAGAAACUUUCCUGAUGCAGGGCCACAUCCGGCUUGUUUCCUCUAGGUUUGGAAAGCACCAAUACCAGCAGGAAAGCAAGAAAGGAAAUGAAAUCCAGCACUACUGUAGAAACAAAGAAAGGAUCAUCUGUUGUCCAGAAGGGUUCAGUUCCAUUACCAAGUUUAUCUUCUAGUCAUGUGAAGAGAAAAAGUAAAAAACAGUUCUCAGAAAAUGUAAACGAACCUAUGGUUUUAAAACCAGCAACUCUAGUGGAAUCUUACUUAGAUCAGUCCUUACAGAUUUCAUCUCUAAAUAAAGAUGGUAUGCUGGAUGAACUGCAGAUGCUAGGUGAUAUCACUAAACAUCUAAAUCAGCAGAAAGAUCAUGAGGAUAUGACUGAGUCACUGUUGUGUUUCUCAACAAUCUCAUCACAGUUAGAAGCAUCAUUUGAUGAAGAAAGAGAAAUAUUAGAAUCUUUGGCUAAGUGGUUUGGAAAAGAAGCCCAACUGAUGGAAGAAAAACUUUUGAAUCAAUGA
rnacentral:lncRNA from 1 species